UUGUACGUGCCGUGAGUAGGGGGCGCCCACGGACGGAACAUGUGUAACGCGCAGUCUUGAUUACACGCGGGCUUGUAAAAAUUAUUAUUAUGGCCGCGCGCUACGUUCCACGCCGCGCCGCAACCGGCUGCACGGGAUACGGCCGAUUUUCCGCGCCCUCGUCACAGGGUGAUUCUCCCUCGAGCGGCCUGAUAGCUUUUGGUGCAUGAGUUACACGGAAUGCGACGUUUCCUUAAUGAUCAUUCAUCGAUUUUCAAGUGCACACUGUGUCUUCAGAAAGCAAUGGAUCUUUCAGUUUUACUGGUAACCUGUGAUUAAUAUUUUUAGUCAGUUAUUUUUGUUAUAUUAUCACAUCGAUUUAUAGUUGCAAUUAAAACGAACAAUUUCGGUUUAAUUCGUAACAAAAUAUCCAAAAUAUACAAUUCAUUAGUUAAAGUUAAACUAAUUAUAGUUGGAGGUAAAUGCUUCGAUAUUAUUGGAAUUGUGCAAUGUUGCGUUAUCGUUAUAUGGUAUUAUGCCGCAAACUCGACACAAAGUAUAUAAAGAAAAUGCACGUUUUACAUGCAUGACUAGCGCCAAGUGCAUAAUUUGCAUAUCUGACUAAAAACGCGAGCAUCCCCGCUGCCGCGUGAUACUCCGCGAAAAGCCCGAAUCGCGUAAUGAAAAGGCAUCAUUGAUCGGAAGCUUGGCGAAACACUGCCGUUCAAUGAACACAUACACGACGUAUCCAUGUCGAUUCCUCGUCAUUGGGUGGAAGGAAAAAAUCAUUGCAUAGCAUUCCAUGCCAGUGAAUCGGAGCAACAGCCUAUGCUUCAUUUCUACCUAAAUAAUCAUAGCCCAUCGUCAAAUGCGUUCCAGCCAUUAUACACGAAGCCUCGAUGUAAUUACCAAUAUGCAACCUAACGAUACCGCAAUUACUAAGUAAUAACUCAUGUUGCUAUCAAGCUUAUACCUUGGCAUUUAAAAAGGACUUCUUUGUGACGCCACAAUCGACGUAUAAUUCUACGCAAGGUUAUUCAUUUGAUCCAUUCGAUGAUUUGCUGAGAUAUCAAUUUGGGACCAACUCGAGAUUACGACACGCGUGUCCCACGCAAAGAAGAUGACGCUUCUUGUCGAACCGCGUCAUGUGUUAUGCUCGAUCCACGAGUCCGGUUUGUGCGACCGAUGAAUACAACCUGGCUUCCCUGGUUUCUGGUCGAAGUGGGGCUAACCGCAGAAUCGGAGGCAAGAUGGCAAAAGUAAGUCGAGAGUCGAGGGGCGGUGCUGCUGCCUGACCAGCCCACUGGCGGCAUCCACGUUCUCCUCUCUCCCUGUAGGAGCUAAGAUCGUCGGAGAACAUUCUCGAAGAGAAGACACCAGACAGCUUUUAGCUGGUUCAUAAAAUACAUGCCGCUGAUGUAAUUCUACAUUCGCAGACAGGGAAAAAACGCAAGAAAUAGUAUGCAGACUCCUGUGAAACGCGAAAUUACGUUGCGACCUCGAAAAACAAUUCUUCGCCAUUUAUAAGAAAAUUCAGAAUAAAUUUUAUCUAAUUUAAGAUAGGUCAUUUUCUACUCUCUCCAGUUUUUUUCUAUUAAUUUUUAUAACAAAUUUUGAUGAUUACAGAUAAUAGUAGCAAACAACGCGAAACCAAUUGAUUCUCGAGGAAGAAAGGAAAAUAAUUAUACAGCAAAGGGAAGAAAUAAAUUAAAAAUAAAUAAAGGAUGGAAAUAAUUCAGCGGCGAGGCAAGCACAUUCGAUAUCAAGCAAGUCGCAGGACCUCUACGGAGGAUGUCAUUGACUUCCAGAUUGUGGGGACCGGCAAAAUCCAAAAAUCCUUUGGAACACUCCGUAAAAGGCCAGAAUAAACAUUUCCUGAACGGUUAGUAGCUGCGUGGUGUGAGAGCGAGGGGCGGGUUGAAGGGGGCUUGCGGUUUCGGCGGGGGUGGUUGCAGACUCCCGAAGAGCGAGCGAGAGAACAGUAGGGAUGGGUGGUACACGCACGGCAGAAGAAGACGGCUUCUCGAGCAACUAAAAGUAGUUACUAAAAGCCGAACGCAGAGGGAAACAGGGAAAGGGUGUUGUUCUUCGUUGGAACAAAUGUUGCGAUUCUUUGCAGACGCGAGCGCGAUAUUGCACAGUGUGUUUAAUGAAUAAAACUUUAACGCGGAAAGCUAUCGGAGAGAAUCGAACUCGAACUCGAAAACGACAUGCGAACUUGAAGGAAGCAGCAACAAUAUGGUGUAACAGCAAAUAUUGCAUUUCACGUUGUAAAUCGUAAAAUCGUGUAGAGCGAAAACUUUGCUUGCGUGAUAUAUAUGUAUAUAUAUAAAAUAAUAAAUAUACAUUGCAAUAUUUUGCAAUGUAUAUUGCAAUAUU